GGGCUGGUGGUUCAGUUUGGUAUGAACGCCGCCUUCGCAAGGCGGAAGUCGCGGGUUCAAAUCCCGCCCAGUCCACCA
rnacentral:tRNA from 1 species